GGGAAUGGAUGGGGCCCGGUGGCCCUCGCGGUCUUCAAAACCGUAGAGGCGCUCAAACGCCUGGAGGGUUCGACUCCCUCCCUUUCCCGCCA
rnacentral:tRNA from 1 species